rnacentral:rRNA from 1 species
GAUGAACGCUGACAGAAUGCUUAACACAUGCAAGUCAACUUGAACUUUGGUUUGGGUGGCGGACGGGUGAGUAACGCGUAAAGAACUUGCCUCACAGCUAGGGACAACAUUUGGAAACGAAUGCUAAUACCUGAUAUUAUGAUUAUAUGGCAUCGUAUAAUUAUGAAAGCUAAAUGCACUGUGAGAGAGCUUUGCGUCCCAUUAGCUAGUUGGAGAGGUAACGGCUCACCAAGGCGAUGAUGGGUAGCCGGCCUGAGAGGGUGAACGGCCACAAGGGGACUGAGACACGGCCCUUACUCCUACGGGAGGCAGCAGUGGGGAAUAUUGGACAAUGGACCGAGAGUCUGAUCCAGCAAUUCUGUGUGCACGAUGAAGUUUUUCGGAAUGUAAAGUGCUUUCAGUUGGGAAGAAAAAAAUGACGGUACCAACAGAAGAAGUGACGGCUAAAUACGUGCCAGCAGCCGCGGUAAUACGUAUGUCACGAGCGUUAUCCGGAUUUAUUGGGCGUAAAGCGCGUCUAGGUGGUUAUGUAAGUCUGAUGUGAAAAUGCAGGGCUCAACUCUGUAUUGCGUUGGAAACUGUAUAACUAGAGUACUGGAGAGGUAAGCGGAACUACAAGUGUAGAGGUGAAAUUCGUAGAUAUUUGUAGGAAUGCCGAUGGGGAAGCCAGCUUACUGGACAGAUACUGACGCUGAAGCGCGAAAGCGUGGGUAGCAAACAGG